rnacentral:rRNA from 1 species
CGACAUUUGCGAUAAACUGCAAGUGUCUGAGCGUCGUGUUAACCGCAAGGAGACAGAUGCCGAAGGUAUGGAUGGUGAUUGGGAUG